rnacentral:rRNA from 1 species
GACAGAGGGUGCAAACGUUGUUCGGAAUGACUGGGCGUAAAGCGCGUGUAGGCGGCUCGGCAAGUCGGAUGUGAAAGCCCUGGGCUCAACCCAGGAAGUGCACUCGAAACUGCCGAGCUGGAGUCCCGGAGAGGAAGGCGGAAUUCUCGGUGUAGAGGUGAAAUUCGAUAGAUAUCGAGAGGAACACCGGUGGCGAAGGCGGCCUUCUGGACGGCGACUGGACGCUGAGACGCGGAAAGCGUGGGGAGCAAACAGGG